UGGGGGAUAUUGCACAAUGGGCGAAAGCCUGAUGCAGCGACGCCGCGUGGGGGAUGAAGGCCUUCGGGUUGUAAACUUCUUUUGCUCUGAACAAGGCAUGCCUUUGGGGUGUGUUGAGUGUAGGGGUUGAUUAGCGCCGGCUCACUACGUGCCAGCAGCCGCGGUAAUACGUAGGGCGCGAGCGUUGUCCGGAAUUAUUGGGCGUAAAGGGCUUGUAGGUGGCUGGUUGCGUCUGUCGUGAAAGCUCAUGGCUUAACUGUGGGUUUGCGGUGGGUACGGGCUGGCUUGAGUGCAGUAGGGGAGGCUGGAAUUCCUGGUGUAGCAGUGGAAUGCGCAGAUAUCAGGGGGAAUACCGGUGGCGAGGGCGGGUCUCUGGGCUGUUACUGACGCUGAGGAGCGAAAGCGUGGGGGGCGAACAGGA
rnacentral:rRNA from 1 species